UCUUGGGCAAAUGAGCAAAGGAUGGCUGGGGGAGUGUGGUUAAGGGAAAAGUUGGUAGUGGAUGGAUUGUAGAAAUCUCAGUGAAGUGAGUUGCAAAGUAUGUGGGGAGGGAACUUUAGAUACAGUCUCCCCAAACUGUAAUUCCCCUUAUUUUUAUAUAGCUUUUACCCCCCUUCCCAGAAAUGGGGAUAAUAAUAGGUUUCCUGGUAGUCCAGUG